rnacentral:rRNA from 1 species
AUUGAACGCUGGCGGAAUGCUUUACACAUGCAAGUCGAACGGCAGCACGGGGGCAACCCUGGUGGCGAGUGGCGAACGGGUGAGUAACACAUCGGAACGUGCCCAGUCGUGGGGGAUAACGUAGCGAAAGCUACGCUAAUACCGCAUACGAACUCUGGUUGAAAGCGGGGGACUCGCAAGGGCCUCGCGCGAUUGGAGCGGCCGAUGGCAGAUUAGGUAGUUGGUGGGGAAAGGCCUACCAAGCCGACGAUCUGUAGCUGGUCUGAGAGGACGACCAGCCACACUGGGACUGAGACACGGCCCAGACUCCUACGGGAGGCAGCAGUGGGGAAUAUUGGACAAUGGCGCAAGCCUGAUCCAGCCAUGCCGCGUGGGUGAUGAAGGCCCUAGGGUUGUAAGGCCC